rnacentral:misc_RNA from 1 species
UGGCCGUGCAUCAGAUGAGGGAUCUAUCGAUCUAAUAUUUUUUCGUGUUUUGCCGUGUUUUAAAAUGUGAUUUUGUUUGUGUAGCCGAGCAAAAUGUGGAUCCCGACCAAAACAAAGAAAUACGGUGUCGCCAUUUACAAUUGGAAGAGCGACGUCAGGUUCGGCCUGCCUCUGGAGAUCGGAGAUACGGUCCAAAUUUUAGAAGAAUGCCAGGGCUGGUACAGAGGUUUCGCGACUAAAAAUAGAGCUCACAAGGGCAUAUUCCCACAGAGCUAUAUCUUUCUGAAACAAUGUAAAGUUGACAAUGAAGGUCUGUUUGAGAGUGUAGUACCCGUCGAAGAUCCAGUGGUCAGAGAAGUGACCUUGGUCCUGAGAGAAUGGGGGCGUAUGUGGAAAAACAUAUUUGUGGAGAGAAAUCACUACAAAUUCGACACAGUAGGCAAGGUUAUGAGGGAUCUGUUGGAGUGGAGGAGACAGCUGGUUUCUGGGACUCUUACUCACGACCAAACCAGGGAGUUGAAAAUGAAAAUUAUACAGAAAAUCGACUGGGGAAACAGGAAAUUGGGGUUGGAUUUGGUGCCCAGGCAGGGGGCGAAUAUGGUUGAGCCUGAUUCAAUGUCUGUUGUGGAAUUGUACCAUGUUCAUGUGGCUUCGGCGGAGAAUACAACGACAGUAUCGGCAAGGGGUACCAUAAGAAAAAAAGAACCCAAAAAGACGCUGACCCACCACCUUUACUUCUGCAUGAGGGAUUUCGGCCACCACAUCGGCGAAGAUACGGAAAUCUAUUUUUCUCUCUACGACGCUUGCAAACAAAAAUACAUAACCGAACGGUUCCUAGUCAAAAUUUCCAAAGAAGGCUUCACAAACCACAUCGAAAAGCUGCAUAGCAAUUGUACAGUAUUCACAGAUUUGGGUAAUUCGGAUUUGAACAAAGACAUAUACAUAGUGGCUCAUGUGAUGCGGAUAGGCAAAAUGCUUUAUUCGGACAGCUCAAAAAAGACUGAAAAAUCCGCUACCCAACCCCAGUUAUUUAAAAGGCCUCAUGGCGUCGCCGCGCAGAAUAUUGGAGAGUUUUUAGCCAGCAAGCUGGAAGAUAGCGAGGAAAAAGAAAUCAGCAUGAAGGUGUAUCAAGGGGAAGACAAAGACUUCCACCAGCUUCACGAUUUUAUUAUUAGACAAUCUGGAAAAUAUUCGGCAUUAUCCGGCCCAAUAAACUAUGGUAUUAUGAUUUCUUUGAAAAUGUUACAUGGUGAAUUAAGAACUAUAAGAGAAGAAAGUCCUAUGUUGUUUAAGAAUGUUAGCUUAACCAGCAAGCUAGGAUUCCCAGAUGUUAUAAUGCCGGGAGACGUACGCAACGACCUCUAUGUGUUUCUGGACAAGGGAGAAUUUGAAAGAGGCGGGAAAUCGACAGGAAAGAACAUAGAAGUCACCAUAGUUGUCCUUGAUGGAGAGAAAAAUAUCGUUAAAAAUUGUUUGUGGGGAGCGUCAGGUAUUGAGGGUGCCUCAGAGUACAAUUCCAUGAUUAUUUACCAUCAUAACUCACCAGCAUGGGCCGAGAACGUCAGAUUAACCCUUCCUAUUGAUAAAUUUGCCGGAGCUCACGUACGACUAGAGUACCGUCACUGUUCAACUCGAGAAAAAAAUGACAAGAAAUUGUUCGGAUUUUCUUUUCUGCGACUGAUGGACAAGGACGGAGCGGCUGUCCAGGAUGGACAACACGAGUUGUACAUUUACAAGUGCGAAGAUCAAGUCAAACUGGAAAACUGUGGGUAUUUAACGCUACCUGCUUUUGCCAAAGAUUUAGAAGGAAAUCACGAAGCGAGUGGGCAAUUCUCAAGAAGUCACAAAGAAAUGGUCUCAAUAAGAACGCUUUUAUGUUCCACAAAAUUAACACAAAAUGUUGAUUUAUUGGCUCUUCUGCGCUGGAAAUCACAUCCCGAACGCAUUCAAGAAUCUCUCCAAAAGGUGUUAAAACUAGGAGACGAGGAACUGAUCAAAUUCCUCCAAGACGUUUUAGAUGCUCUCUUCGCCCUUUUUUCCACCGAAGACGGUAACUCCACACCCUACAGCGGCCUAGUUUUCCACGUUUUGGUUUCCAUCUUCAACCUGCUUGACGGUAGCAAGUACCAACACUUCAAACCAGUGUUGGACGCGUAUAUUAAGAACCAUUUUGCAGCUGCAUUAGUCUAUAAGGGAUUGUUGACCAGCGUCCAACACUGCGCAGAAUGGGUGUCUACCUUCGAGAAGCAAGAACCCAUCCAAAAAUGCUUCAAAAGUCUGGAAUACAUUUUCAAAUUGAUUAUCCAGAGCCGAUUGCUUUUUUCCGAGGCCACCGGUGGACAUUUUGAGGACAAUUUUAGAAGGGACUUGUACAGCGUGUUCUCCAGCUUGAACCAGAUGCUGAAGAUCAAUAAUUCGCACAUAACAAACACUCAGGUUGCUUUACUGUUGGCAAUCAGCGCCGUCUACGAGCAACUGAACGAAGUACUUCCGACAUUAGAGUGCACCAAGCUUGCUUCUACCAUGCUUGACUCAAUCCCUACCGAUUUACCUGUCUUAAUAAUUCAAGCAAAGUUGGCUUGCAUUAAGAACUUGGUUACCAGUAAAUUAUUCCAGGAUGACGAGUCCAGAAAUAUUCUUCUGGCAAACGCCUGCAAACAUCUGAGGUAUCACUUGAUGCGGCGAGAAGAAUUGAAGCUAUGCACGGAAAUACUCGGAGAAAUCUUGGGUUUCUUGUUUAAGCAGAAGAAGUUUAGCGAGGAACAGGGCAAAGUGAAUAAUUGUAUCCAUCACGACGUGGAUACGCUGAAUUUAUCCAUUUUGGAAGUUCUCAUUCAGACUGUUUUGGGUAUUAUAGACAAGGACCUAAAGAUUUUGGGUUGUUUAGUUGCUUGUUUGAUAGGCAUUCUUCAACUUUUGGAUGAGUUUCAUUAUAAACGCUUGUGGGAAGUGUUGAUGGGGCCAAACAAUGACAGGAAACCGUUAAAAGAUUUCCUGUUAAGGGUAUUUUUAGUGUUUAGAAACUUGAUUAGAAUGGAAGUAUUUCCACCAGACUGGCUAAUCAUAAAAAUACUGACCAACAACGUUAUACUGAAAGCUUUACAGGAAUUUGCUCAGCCUUUGGCCUUUACAUUUUUAGAUGGCAAAGGAUAUUUCGAUAAAGAAUUAUGGAUGAACUACUUCAAUCUCUCUGUUGACUAUCUCACUCAGCAAUCUCUUCAAUUAGAACAGUUCUCUGAUGUAAAAAGAGAAAAAAUCAUCGAAAAAUAUGGCGACAUGAGAGUGCUGAUGGGUUUUCAGAUAUUGUCCAUGUGGUCAUCUUUAGGUGAAUGCAAACUUCAUUUUAUUCCCUCCAUGGUCGGACCUUUUCUCGAAGUAACUCUGGUACCUGAAAUAGAACUAAGAAAAGCCACUCUGCACAUCUUUUUCGAUAUGAUGGAGUGCGAGCAACGGGCCAGGGGAAAUUUCAAGCAAGUAGAAUGCGAACUGAUCGACAAACUCGACAUACUGAUCAGCGAAAAUAAGGGCGACGACGAGUAUAGGAGACUAUUUAAUACCAUCCUCCUAAAUCGGGUACAAUCGGAAGAUCCAGCCUGGAAAGAAAGUGGUGCUGCUUUUAUCAGCUCCAUAACCAGGCUUCUCGAGCGUUUGUUAGAUUACAGGAACGUUAUACAGGGUGAUGAAAACAGAGACAAACGAAUGAGCUGUACAUUCAAUUUAUUAAAUUUCUAUAAGAACGAAUUUAAUCGCAAGGAGAUGUACCUGCGCUAUAUUUACAAACUCCACGAUCUCCAUUUGUCAGCUGAAAACUUUACUGAAGCAGCUUUUACAAUGAAAUUAUACGCCGAUCAACUCUCUUGGACGAAUAAUCAAAUAGUUUCUGAUCCAAAUUACCCCAAUCAUUCAGAGUGUCAAGUAAAAGAGUUACUAUACAGGCAGAUCAUUAAUUAUUUCGAUAAGGGGAAGUGUUGGGAAAAAGGAAUACCGCUGUUAAAAGAGUUGGCGGAGCUAUACGAGACGAUAUUUUUUGAUUAUAAGCAAUUGAGUGAUAUUUUAAAAUGCCAAGCCAAGUUUUACGACAAUAUUUUGACGCAACUUCGACCGGAACCUGAAUAUUUUAGAGUUGGAUUUUAUGGACUGAGCUUUCCUCUAUUUGUGAGGAAUAAGCAAUUUGUGUACAGAGGUUUAGCUUACGAACGAAUCGGUGCCUUCACUCAGAGAUUACAAACCGAGUUUCCCUCCGCUCAAAUAUUGAUGAAAAACACCCCACCAGACGACAGUAUUAUUAAUUCAGAUGGCCAAUUCAUACAAAUAUGCAACGUUAAACCCAUUCCAGAAAGCACGCCUAUCACUAUGGCGACCGACAUUCCCGAAAAAAUCUCUAGGUUUUAUCACUAUAACGACGUGAAGAGGUUCCAGUGUGACAGGCCGGUGCAUAAAGGCAUCAUAGAUAAAGAAAACGAAAUAAAGACGUUGUGGAUCGAAAGGACUGUACUUGAGAUAGCAGCGCCUCUACCCGGUAUCUUGAGAUGGUUCGAGGUGAUUUACAGGCAGACCGAUGAGAUUGCGCCUGUGCAGUACGCAUGCGAAACGAUGCAAAGCGUGGAAAAUGAACUGAGACAGUUGAUAGCCCUUUACACGCAGGAACCCAAGAGAAAUCUUAAUCCUUUCACAAUGAGAUUGCAGGGAAUCAUCGAUGCUAAUGUUCAGGGUGGAUUAAGCAAAUACCAACAAGCCUUCUUCACCAAAGAAUUUACCAAACUUUAUCCUGAACAUAAGUGUUACGUUAACACGUUGCAAGAUCUCAUCCUAAAUGCAACAAGGGUUAUAGAGGAAGGAUUAUACCUCCACGGGAAGUUAGCCCCUUCUAGUGUCCAACCCUUGCACCAAAGACUUGUAGAAAGAUUUUUACAGUUGAGAGAAAGUUUAGGAUCGCUGAGUCAACAAACGCCAAAUAGUAUUAUCAAUACUCCCCUGCCUCCUUUACCGUCAGAAAAGCGCCUCCUAGUGGAGAACGGAGGAAGUAACCGAUCCUCUACUAACUCCAGCGGAAAUUACGGUCACCUCGUUGACCAUCAGCCGAUGGACUACGACACCGUCUACAUGAAACCGCUGGUAGGCUUCAAAAAUCUUGUUUCUAACAAACGGAGAACGAUGCAUGCCGUUCCAGGUUACAGUAUUAGGUUUUACGUGGGCUACGAAGAGAUAAGCAUGAGCAAAGUUAGUUAACCUAUGAUUUUUUUCUCUGUUUGUUGUUGUGUAGCUGAUAGAAAGGUUCCUGUGCGUACUACUAAUAAUAAUAUUUACUAACAUUAUAGAUUAAGGAAUCAGAUCGUCCAAUACUAAACAGAGAAAACCUCUCGCUGCCUACGGGAACCAUAGCGCCACCUAUACCUCAAAGGGAGUGCAGACCAAAAUCUCAGGGAUUCAAC